AUUGAACGCUGGCUGCAUGCUUAACACAUGCAAGUCGAAGGGCAGCACAGUGCAUAGCAAUACGCAUGGGUGGCGAGUUGCGGACGGGUGCGUAACGCGUAGGACUCUGCCUUUAAGAGGGGGAUAACCCGAUGAAAGUCGGGCUAAUAUCUCAUAAUAUCGAGAGAUCAAAGCUGGGGCAACCUGGCACUGCAAGAGGAGACUGCGUCCGAUUAGCUAGUUGGUAGGGUAAAAGCCUACCAAGGCGAUGAUCGGUAACUGGUCUGAGAGGAUGAUCAGUCACACUGAAACUGAGACACGGUCCAGACUCCUACGGGAGGCAGAAGUGGGGAAUAUUGGACAAUGGGGGCAACCCUGAUCCAGCAAUGCCGCGUGUGGGAAGAAGGCCUUCGGGUUGUAAAGCACUUUAGGUUGGGAGGAAGGUGAGUAGUUUAAGAGAUGAUUCACUUGACUGUACCGACAGAAUAAGCACCGGCUAACUCUGUGCCAGCCGCCGCCGUAA
rnacentral:rRNA from 1 species